GCUCAGGACGAACGCUGGCGGCGUGCCUAAUACAUGCAAGUCGAGCGGACCGACGGGAGCUUGCUCCCUUAGGUCAGCGGCGGACGGGUGAGUAACACGUGGGUAACCUGCCUGUAAGACUGGGAUAACUCCGGGAAACCGGGGCUAAUACCGGAUGCUUGAUUGAACCGCAUGGUUCAAUCAUAAAAGGUGGCUUUUAGCUACCACUUACAGAUGGACCCGCGGCGCAUUAGCUAGUUGGUGAGGUAACGGCUCACCAAGGCGACGAUGCGUAGCCGACCUGAGAGGGUGAUCGGCCACACUGGGACUGAGACACGGCCCAGACUCCUACGGGAGGCAGCAGUAGGGAAUCUUCCGCAAUGGACGAAAGUCUGACGGAGCAACGCCGCGUGAGUGAUGAAGGUUUUCGGAUCGUAAAACUCUGUUGUUAGGGAAGAACAAGUACCGUUCGAAUAGGGCGGCACCUUGACGGUACCUAACCAGAAAGCCACGGCUAACUACGUGCCAGCAGCCGCGGUAAUACGUAGGUGGCAAGCGUUGUCCGGAAUUAUUGGGCGUAAAGCGCGCGCAGGCGGUUUCUUAAGUCUGAUGUGAAAGCCCCCGGCUCAACCGGGGAGGGUCAUUGGAAACUGGGGAACUUGAGUGCAGAAGAGGAGAGUGGAAUUCCACGUGUAGCGGUGAAAUGCGUAGAGAUGUGGAGGAACACCAGUGGCGAAGGCGACUCUCUGGUCUGUAAACUGACGCUGAGGCGCGAAAGCGUGGGGAGCGAACAGGAUUAGAUACCCUGGUAGUCCACGCCGUAAACGAUGAGUGCUAAGUGUUAGAGGGUUUCCGCCCUUUAGUGCUGCAGCAAACGCAUUAAGCACUCCGCCUGGGGAGUACGGUCGCAAGACUGAAACUCAAAGGAAUUGACGGGGGCCCGCACAAGCGGUGGAGCAUGUGGUUUAAUUCGAAGCAACGCGAAGAACCUUACCAGGUCUUGACAUCCUCUGACAACCCUAGAGAUAGGGCUUCCCCUUCGGGGGCAGAGUGACAGGUGGUGCAUGGUUGUCGUCAGCUCGUGUCGUGAGAUGUUGGGUUAAGUCCCGCAACGAGCGCAACCCUUGAUCUUAGUUGCCAGCAUUCAGUUGGGCACUCUAAGGUGACUGCCGGUGACAAACCGGAGGAAGGUGGGGAUGACGUCAAAUCAUCAUGCCCCUUAUGACCUGGGCUACACACGUGCUACAAUGGGCAGAACAAAGGGCAGCGAAGCCGCGAGGCUAAGCCAAUCCCACAAAUCUGUUCUCAGUUCGGAUCGCAGUCUGCAACUCGACUGCGUGAAGCUGGAAUCGCUAGUAAUCGCGGAUCAGCAUGCCGCGGUGGAAUACGUUCCCGGGCCUUGUACACACCGCCCGUCACACCACGAGAGUUUGUAACACCCGAAGUCGGUGAGGUAACCUUUUGGAGCCAGCCGCCGAAGGUGGGACAGAUGAUUGGGUGA
rnacentral:rRNA from 1 species